UUUCCGUAGGUGAACCUGCGGAAGGAUCAUUAUCGUACAAAAUGUGAGGGGCAUGCCACGGCUGCCGCUGACCCAAAAGUCAUGGACGCGCCAGUGUGUCCUAUUGCAUCAAACUCCAUAUCACUCUUUGUGAAUCAAAGCGUAGGCAACUUCCGGGCCCUUCCCGGCCGGGGGCUUGCGUUUUCCCCCUAACCCCUCUUCUCAACGUGUCCAAUGCCCUCAAUUAUGUUUUCAAUUCAACUUCCACCCACGGAUCUCUUGGCUCUCGCAUCUAUGCAC
rnacentral:misc_RNA from 1 species